rnacentral:rRNA from 1 species
UACGGGGGGAGCAAGCGUUGUUCGGAUUUACUGGGCGUAAAGGGCGCGUAGGCGGUCAGCACAAGUCAGUUGUGAAAUCUCCGGGCUUAACCCGGAAAGGUCAGCCGAUACUGCGGGGCUAGAGUGCAGAAGGGGCAACUGGAAUUCUCGGUGUAGCGGUGAAAUGCGUAGAUAUCGAGAGGAACACCUGCGGCGAAGGCGGGUUGCUGGGCUGACACUGACGCUGAUGCGCGAAAGCUAGGGGAGCGAAUGGG